GAAGAGCAUUUGAAACAGCAAGACUUGAGUACAGGAGAGGAAAGCGGAAUUCCUGGUGUAGAGGUGAAAUUCGUAGAUAUCAGGAGGAACACCCAUGGCGAAGGCAGCUUUCUGGACUGAUACUGACGCUGAGGCGCGAAGGUGUGGGUAGCGAACAGGAUUAGAUACCCUGGUAGUCCACACAGUAAACGAUGUUCACUAGGUGUAGCGGGUAUUAAAACCUGCUGUGCCGGAGUUAACGCAUUAAGUGAACCGCCUGGGGAGUACGGUCGCAAGAUUAAAACUCAAAGGAAUUGACGGGGGCCCGCACAAGCGGUGGAGCAUGUGGUUUAAUUCGACGCAACGCGAAGAACCUUACCUGGAUUUGACAUCCUGUGAAUCCCCGAGAG
rnacentral:rRNA from 1 species